rnacentral:rRNA from 1 species
AUUGAACGCUGGCGGCAGGCCUAACACAUGCAAGUCGAGCGCGCGGCGGACGGGUGAGUAAUGUCUGGGGACCUGCCCGAUAGAGGGGGAUAACUACUGUAAACGGUGUCUCAUACCGCAUACUAUCGGAUAUGCCCCUAUGGGAUUCGUGAGUAGGUAUGGUAAUGGCUAACCUAGGCGACGAUCCCUAGCUGGUCUGAGAGGAUGACCAGCCACACUGGAACUGAGACACGGUCCAGACUCCUACGGGAGGCAGAAGUGGGGAAUAUUGCACAAUGGGCGCAAGCCUGAUGCAGCCAUGCCGCGUGUAUGAAGAAGGCCUUAGGGUUGUAAAGUACUUUCAGUGGGGAGGCGUUACCCGCAGAAGAAGCACCGGCUAACUCCGUGCCAGCAGCCGCGGUAAUAC